ensembl:lncRNA
GUUGGCUAGAAUGCUGUCUCUACUGACCAGGAGGCUGGGGUGAAACUAAAGUGUUUCUCUUUUGAUCGCUCUUCUCCUUUGCCUUCACCUGGGCUUCUUUCCGGCCUGCAGAUCCAGAAAACAAUGGGAAAGUAAUCUGUCAUCUGUUAUUGAGUCAUGCUGAAGGUGUUUGAGACAGCCACAGAAAAACUGCCCAAAGUCCCUCUCUUGUGAACCUCACCUUUGAACCCGGGAGAUUGACAAUAAUGAACAGCAUGUAACAUGUGGAGGAUAUCAGAUGGUGAUAGAUGCUGUCUGGGAAGAUUGAGCAGGCACUGUGCUAGGAAUCUGUCACCCUCUUUAGUCCUCAUAACUCUCUGAGGUGGAUGGAGGAACUACUCAGCCCCACGAACAAUCCUGUGUUUGCUUCUGACUCCAUCAUGCAUCCUUGGAGAGAUGAUUCCAACAAGAGAAAAGGGUACAUGGAGAUUGAGGAGAACCAGUAUCACAACCAAGCUGGGGGACUCAAUGAAGAGUUGCUCCUUCAGCAAAUGAGCUUCACUAAAGGAAACCAACCCUGAAUAUUCAUUGGAAGGACUGACGCUGAAACUGAAGCUCCAGUAUUUUGGCCAUCUGAUGGAAAAAGCCAACUCACUGGAAAAGACCCUGAUGUUGGGAAAGAUUGAAGGCAGGAGGAGAAGGGGACAACAGAGGAUGAGCUGGUUGAAUGACAUCACCGAUUCAAUGGACAUGAGUUUGAGCGAACUCCAGGAGAUGGUGAAGGACAGGGAAGCCUGGUGUGUUGCAGUCCAUGGGGUUUCAGAGUCGGACACGGC